rnacentral:rRNA from 1 species
UACCAGCACCCCGAGUGGUCGGGCCGAUUAUUGGGCCUAAAGCAUCCGUAGCCGGCCUUACAAGUCCUCCGUUAAAUCCAGCUGCUUAACAGAUGGGCUGCGGAGGAUACUAUAAGACUAGGAGGCAGGAGAGGCAAGCGGUACUCAGUGGGUAGGGGUAAAAUCCGUUGAUCCAUUGAAGACCACCAGUGGCGAAGGCGGCUUGCCAGAAUGCGCUCGACGGUGAGGAUGAAAGCUGGGGGAGCAAACCGG